ACGCUGGCGGCAGGCCUAACACAUGCAAGUCGAGCGGCAGCGGGAAGUAGCUUGCUACUUUGCCGGCGAGCGGCGGACGGGUGAGUAAUGUCUGGGAAACUGCCUGAUGGAGGGGGAUAACUACUGGAAACGGUAGCUAAUACCGCAUGACCUCGCAAGAGCAAAGUGGGGGACCUUCGGGCCUCACGCCAUCGGAUGUGCCCAGAUGGGAUUAGCUAGUAGGUGAGGUAAUGGCUCACCUAGGCGACGAUCCCUAGCUGGUCUGAGAGGAUGACCAGCCACACUGGAACUGAGACACGGUCCAGACUCCUACGGGAGGCAGCAGUGGGGAAUAUUGCACACAUGGGCGCAAGCCUGAUGCAGCCAUGCCGCGUGUGUGAAGAAGGCCUUAGGGUUGUAAAGCACUUUCAGCGAGGAGGAAGGGUUCAGUGUUAAUAGCACUGUGCAUUGACGUUACUCGCAGAAGAAGCACCGGCUAACUCCGUGCCAGCAGCCGCGGUAAUACGGAGGGUGCAAGCGUUAAUCGGAAUUACUGGGCGUAAAGCGCACGCAGGCGGUUUGUUAAGUCAGAUGUGAAAUCCCCGAGCUUAACUUGGGAACUGCAUUUGAAACUGCCAAGCUAGAGUCUUGUAGAGGGGGGUAGAAUUCCAGGUGUAGCGGUGAAAUGCGUAGAGAUCUGGAGGAAUACCGGUGGCGAAGGCGGCCCCCUGGACAAAGACUGACGCUCAGGUGCGAAAGCGUGGGGAGCAAAC
rnacentral:rRNA from 1 species